CACCAAUACUGCCAAUGGCUUCGGCAUGUAACAAUGAAAAAGGCAAUAUGAGAGCUGUAGGAGACUUAUAAAAUGCUGUAGAUGAUCUGCAUAUUGCACAGAAUCAUCUAAAAUGCUGUAGGAGACAUGUUGUGCAUAUAAUUUGCACCCAAGGCGUCACCAUUCUGCUUACAGACAAAUUUUAUUAUUAUUUUGAGGCUAUUUAUUUUUUUU
rnacentral:misc_RNA from 1 species